rnacentral:lncRNA from 1 species
ACAUUCUUAUCGCUGUCAGAAUGCUGCUGACUUUCAAAUACACCUCUGCCACCUGCUAGCUACAUCAAGAGAAAUUACGUCAAAAUUCAGCUUGGGGGAGAGCACCCCCAUUUAUCUCGAUAAGUAUUUCUAUCUAUCUUUAUACUUAUAUUAUUUUAGAAUAUAAAUACACAUAAACUAUGGAAAACCAAAUAAAGAUUUUAUGCUUAUAUAUCUUUUGCUUAGUGUGUUUAAUAAAUAAAUAAAGUGGCUAUGCUAAUCUGUAUCUAAACAAAUACUUUUCGCAAAUCGGCAAGAUGUUUGGUGAAGUCUCCAGACUUAACGACCACAUCAUCAAUAUAAAUUUCCACCAGCUUGCCGAUGAACUCGUGAAAGAUAAAAUUCAAGGCCCUUUGAUAAGUAGCACCAGCAUUUUUCAAGCCAAAGGUCAUGACUAUCCACUCAAACAAACCAACAUGACCAGGACAUCUAAAUGCAGUCUUUGGAAUAUCCUCUUCAGCCAUGAAUAUAUGAUUGUAUCCUGCGUUACCGUCCAUAAAGCUGAUGAUCCGAUCCCCAGCCGCUGCAUCAACUAGCAGAUCGGCAACUGGCAUUGGGUAGCCAUCCAUCGGUGUAGCUUUAUUAAGAUUCCUGAAAUCAAUGCAAACCCGAAGCUUCCCAUUUUUCUUGUAAACCGGAACAACAUUGGAAAUCCAUUCGGCAUACCGACACUGCCGAAUAAAUUUAGCCUCGAUAAGGUUAGUUAUUUCGGCCUUGAUGUCAGGAAGAAUAUUGGGAUUACAUCGGCGAGCUGGUUGUUGAUGUGGUCGAAACCCAGACUUGAUAGGUAACCGAUGUGCAACAAUUGAUCGGUCUAAACCAGGCAUCUCAGUAUAAUCCCAAGCAAAGCAAUCUUUAUAUUCUUUCAACAAAUUGGUUAACUGUUUCUUACACUCAGAAUUUAACUUAGCACUAAUAAAAGUAGGUCUAGGUCUAUCCUAACUACCUAUAUCUACCUCUAUUAAAUCAUCGGCCGAUGUGAAUCCCUGGCCUAAUUUUCCAUCAUCGGCGAACCUAUCCAUUAAAAUCCUUCAUCAGAACUGACUGCUUGGAUCGGUGGAAUUUCAUAAUCGGCGACUUUGAGGAAAUCCUUCUCCCAAAUCUCUCCUGAGAUGCAUCUAGUCCCUUCAUAAGUGUCUGCUUCUGCCGACGCAAUAACGUAGGAAGAAUCUCCCGGGACAAUCUCAAUCUUGUCAGCUACCCACUGGACCAAGCAUUGGUGCAUUGUAGACGGGAUGCAACAGUUGGCAUGAAUCCAAUCUCUCCCCAACAGCAGAUUAUAAGCACCCUUACCACUGAUCACAAAGAAAGUUGUCGGCAAGGUUUUGCUGCCGAUGGUCAACUCAAUGCAUAUUGCUCCCUUAACCGGAGACACAUUUCCCUCAAAGCCUUUUAGCAUCACAUCGGUCUUUGUUAAAUCUUGAUCCCCUUUUCCAAGCUUCCGAUACACUGCAUAUGGCAUGAUGUUGAUAGCAGCUCCACCAUCAAUUAGAAUCUUGGUCAUCGGCUGACCAUCCACUUUUCCUUUGACAAACAGAGCCUUGAGAUGUUGCCUCUCAUCAUCGGCAGGCUUUUUGAAGAUGGCUGUCAUCAAGUCCAGAGCCAACUGAGCUAUUUGGUCGGAAAAUUCCAACUCAUCAUCACUGGUUGGCGCAAGGAAUUCCAUCGGCAACAUAAAUACCAUGUUAAUAUCUGCCGAUGGCCCUUUCCCCUUAGGAUCUAAUUGUUGUUGAUCCCCAGAUUGGCCAGAGUUGUCGCCCUUUCUCCACUCUUCCCGUCUUUCGCGCUGCAGCCUCCUUUUCUGCGUCCUAGUCAACCCCUCUGGACACCAUGGAGAAAGUUGUUGCUACCUUACCGAUGGACGAUGAUGUUCCCUUGACUCCAUCCGAUAAGUAUUAGCAUCCCUGCAAAAUAUGAACUCAUCAGGAACUCGUGCAUUAGCCAUCUCUUCAAGUUCUUCCUGGUUCCUGGGAAAAUAUUCGACACGAUCACCAAGUCUAUCGUGCACACUGAGCCUGCCCCCCAGCCGAUCAUGAACGGACGCUCUUCCCCUAAUCGGCCCACCAAACCGGCGGUUAGUGUUCUGAUACUGCCGAUUUAUCUGUCAUACUGAUCAUAACCAUUACAUUCCACGCAGUCUCUGACAGUAGGGAGCUUGAAAUUUUCUUCCCAACAAUGAAUGAAGAACGGACAAUUCCAAUGAUCCCUAUGCCGAUUCCACUCCUGUCGGCAUCUUUCCUCUUCCCGAUAAUAGUCUUCUUGCUGGCGCCGAUACCGAUCGUCUCGUCGCUGCCAAGUCUCCCGAGGCCUUCUAUGGGUUAUAACAAUACCAGAUCGGGGAGGCCUUCCUGAGCUGUUUCCUUCCUGGAUUAAUCCUUUCCCUUUUGCAUCGGCAGUGGUAAUCUGAUGCUGAGGGUCCACCGAUGCACUUCUUUCAGCCGCUUCUGAUGUCAAGACCUUGGCCUUUCCUUUUGCGCCCAGCAUGUUUGUUGGGAAAGGAUGUUGAUCAAUCUUCAUCAGCUUCUGAGUUUUGGAGUUAUCAAAUUUGAUCCUCCUAGAUUCUAUAGCCGAUUGCAGCUUCUGUCUAAACAAUUUGCACUCAUUGGUGUCGUGAGAAGUUGCAUUAUGCCAUUUGCAGUACUUCAUCUUCUUUAAUUCCUCAGCCGAUGGAAUUACAUGAUUGGGUGACAAUUUGAUCUGACCUUCCUGAAGUAGAAAGUCAAAUAUCCUAUCGGCUUUGGUAAUGUCAAAUGCGAACUUCUCCAGCUCUUUGUGCCCAAGGGCAAGACAUCGGCUUUUUAUUUUUUACCCAUUCUGCCAAGCCGAUGACUGGUUCCUCAUCAGAGUCCGAGCUUGCUGCUUCAUCCACAAAUGACACCUUUUUGUUCCAUGCUCUCUUGGGCUCAAAAGGCUUGAUAUCCUGGUCAGAAAUUCUUUGCACCAAGUGACUUAAGCUUUCAAACUCUUGAGAUGCAUACUUGUCCCUGAUAUGUGGCAACAAACCCUAGAAAGCCAAAUCGGCUAGCUACCGAUCAUCCAAAACCAAACUAUAGCAUUUGUUCUUGACUUCUCGUAUUCUUUGCACAAAACCUUCAACCAAUUCAUCAUUGCGUUGCUUUAAUUUGACCAAAUCGGUGAUCUUCUUCUCAUGGACUCCAGAAAAGAAGUAUUUGUAGAAUUGCUUCUCUAGAUCGGCCCAAGUAAUCACUGAGUUAGGAGGUAAUGAUAUAAACCAAGUAAAAGCCGAUCCGGAUAAUGAUGACGAGAACAAGCGAACCCUUAACUCGUCCCUGUUAGCAGCUUCUCCACAUUGAAUGAUGAACUUGUUAACGUGCUCCAUGGUUGAUGUUUCAUCCUGCCCAGAAAAUUUAGUAAAAUCUGGCACUUUCUACCGAUUUGGAAGUGGGAUUAAAUCAUACGCAGGAGGAUACGGUGUCCGAUAAGAGUAAGUAUUGACUUUGGGUUUUAUCCCAAACUGACCUCUCAUGACUUCAGCAAUCUUAUCGGCCAAUAAGCAUCGGCAUCUUGCCGAUGAGGUGGUUGCGGAUCUGGCAUCUGCUGAUAGGGUUCCACGUGUCUGUGAGGUGCGCAGUCUGCAUGGAACAUUGGGUUAAUCAUUUGGCCACCAAUAUGCUGACCGCUAGUCUGCUGACCACCAGGAUGUUGACCACCAAACUGUUGGCUGAGAUUCAUCGGCUGGUUGACCACCCCUUGGUUCUAGAAUCCAGGGUAAAUCUGGCCUUGUUGAAACCCUGUGACCUGAUGAUUCUGUUGGGGCAUUUGUGGAAAGACUUGCUGCCCAAGCCAUCCACUAUUAGCAUUCAUCGGCAUAGACCCUGCCGAUGUGUGGUAAUUGGGCAUCAUCAUUGAAUUGACAUACCCUGGCUGAGUCAUAAACCUCUGUUGCGUCGGCAUUGAAUCUGCCGAUGCAUUAGGCAUCUGGAAUGUUGGAGCUUGAGAAUUCCUAGUGUAAGGCCUGGCAGUAGUAGUUGUAGUAUACUGGGGACUCUGGUUCAUCGGCAUAUUUGGAGGCGCCGAUGCCAUAGGAGCCUUGCCUCUCAUGUCAGCUGCCUGAGAUGUGCCAGGUGCCCUCAACGAGUAUUUCGGGGGCAUACCGAAACCCCACCAAUUAGGAGGAACAGAUCCCGACAUUGCCGAUGCCAAUAGAUCUGUAGUAAGCUUGAUCGACUCAUCUGAUGUUGAUGGAUUGGACGGCAUCGGCAUGGAUUGUGCAUUAGAGACUCCUAGCGUGCUUGGAGGAGUAGUAGUUUCUGUGCCUGCAACGGCUGUAGCAGCCGAUGGAGCCGUAACCACAGGCGAUCCUGGCUGACGAUAGGCAGGGCCCGCAUAAUUUGGUGGCAAUUGUCGUUCUUUGAAAGUUCUAGCCACGGCAUUAAAAACCGUAUUGGACAACACACUAGCUUGAUUGAUCAAGGCACGGUUAAUAGCAUUAUCAACCAUGUCUUGAAGUUUACCAGGAUUAGCGUCGAAAGUAACCUGCCAAGGCAUCAGCAGUGCUUCCUUCUGGAUUACUUCGCCGCUCCUGUUGAUGUUGAAGGACCUCAAACAUUGCUGCUUGUAAUCCUCCAUGGCUUUCGCAAUAGCUUGCUUCUGCUCAUCCUUCAGAUUGGCUUCCGUCACAGGGAUGACGUUCUCCUGAUCGAACUCGGUAGUCGACAUGUCGAUCUUGAUACUGAUUCUGGUCCCACUGGGCGUGCCAAAAUAUGUGUUGACGCAAAAGGUGGAUCUGCAAACACAAAGGGCUAAUACCCGAUUUAAACGUUAAGACGUGCCAGCCGAUUUGACCUUACUAUCGGCAAAGGUGAUAACUGGAAUACUUUAGUCCUGACAACAGCGAUGUGCCCGGAUGUCACGGCCAAGAGGUAUUCACGUGGAACUUGAGAAUACGCCGAGCUUAAAUCGACGAAUUCCUAAGAACUCAUAGUAAAAGGAAAAAAAGUAUGACGAAGUCGUCGAAAAAGUAGAUGCUGGAAUAUGAGUACAAAACUUGUGUUUGAUUGAUUGAUAGAUAUUUCAUUACAAUGCCCCAGGGUCUACAUUUAUACCCUGCCCAAAGAGCUACAAUCAGACACAACUAGGACUCAAAUUCCAAAUUAAACAGAAUCCGUAUACAAAACGAUUUAAAUAACUAAGGAAAACAUAAAACUAUCCUCCUGUGACAAACUGGGACAUCACCACAGGCCAAUCGGCAACCUUCAGGUUAUUCUCUUGAAUCAUCGGCAGACCCCUCAUCGUGGCCAUCAGCACAGGUUAAUACUGACCAUCGGCAUAAACACAUCAUCACCCAUAGACUUAACCGCAUUCAGCUGUCCCUUCAUCGGCAACCACCCUCAUCGGCAACUCUCCUGCAGACCAGUCACUGUUGCCCUAUCUUACCGACCUUCACUUCUACUGAUCCUGGGUAAGUGUCCAAAAACGGUGUCAACAGCUGCUCAUGUCUCAGAGCACACCUAGUAUACCAGUUUGAUCAAACUCUGCGCAGAGGUGUGCACAUUUCCCGCAAGUCGUGUUACCCAUAUGCCCGGAGUUUGCAAGACCCACUAACAUUGCCAAGGUGAUUGGGCAGAGAACACUAUGAAGCAUUCCAUAGGACUCCUCUAACCAGUUAGGGCCGUGAGGUUCCCUCGGCAGGCAGAUAUAGAGGACCCCCCUUUCCUAUGGCACAUUUCCAUCAUGGCUAUACACAUAGGAACAGAAGCAGUUCUAUACCCAAAGUGGCAAGCCCCUCUUGUGCCCUUUCAGGUAACCUCUAACCAGCUAGAUGAGAUCCUACUACUGAGCUAAAGUUAGAGCCAUAUAACCAUCACGGUUGCACUAUAUGUCCCAGAUAGUCGCUUACAGAGAAGUCCUUACGGAGGGUCUAGGUCAACCUGACUGAAGUCAAUUGAACCAUAGCCCUUUUCCCAUCAUUUGUCAUCAUAUUUAAUAAAGUCAAAAUUGUAGUGAAGUCUCAAUUAAUUAGAGCACUAGACAUGCAAUCUACCCAUAGGUGUCAUAAAUAUAUAGUCAUGUAGCUAGGAUGUCCUUACGGUUAUCAUAAUUAGACACAUGCAGAUGCGUAAUUAAUUAAGUAAGUAGGUGUACAAGGGAAACCCAUGUUAUACUUGCCUUUGGUGAAGGGAAGCUGCUGCUAGUCCUACUGCUCCUCGGAAUAAAAUGGAUCGCCCACGGUCACGUCACCGUCUGCGCUCGAUCGGCACGACACAACAACACACAUCCAGGUUCCAAACAUACAAGCAAACAAUCCUUUAAUUAGAACAGUAUACCAACAGAUCAAAACAAAAUAAAAUGUUUUAAAACAGAACCUACGUUUUGCUACGAUCACAUAGAUACGAAGAUCACGAAAAUGGGAAUUAAAACGAUCAAGUUACGAAUUUACACCCAUUUUCUAUAGCGAUUUAAUUAAUUAAACCUAAGCCUAAAAAUAAAAAGUUUCCAACUGCAGUAACAGUGGUACUAACAUGUAGAGAAUUUGAAUAUGAAUCUAACGCAAUUUGAAUGGGUCAAAUCAGAGCUAAAACGAAUAAUUUAUGGCAAGAACUCAUUGGCAAAUCUUUAAAUUUUUGAAAGCGUAAUUUGACCUAACUAACGGGAAAUACAUUUUCAACACGGCAAGGCGUAUUUCUAUUGAAUAUGCUAAGGACGGCAGGCAGAAUUUGGAAAUCAGGGAGGGGUUCUUAAGCAAAACUGCCCCCGAAGGGGUACAGUGCAUCCAGGGCCAUUGGAUCGCGAACGGAUGGCAUAGAUUAUAAGAAAGAAUUAAGAGAGAGAGGGAGAGGUUGGCGCGCGGCCGGAGGGGAGGAAGGAGGAGGCGGCGGCCAUUGCCGCGGCCAGCAAGGUCGCCGGAGUAAGUCUCCCUGGCGCUACCGAGCUCAGUUUUCAAAUCCGAUUGCACAGGGAUAUAGAGGAGGGCGAGGGGGGUCUAGCACAGGGUAAAACACGGCUGGUGGGAGCGGCUUGCGUGGUGGCCGACGGUGGCGCCAUGGCCGGCCACGUCGGUGCUCAAGGGAAGGUCACUAGAGGGCGCUAUUUACCAUGGAAAGGGUCAGUGAAGAAGAGGAGGAUGCAACGCGCUCACCACGGCAAGAAACGGGGGCGGGAUCGGCUUGAAACGCUGGGCGUCGCGCGGCCGAUGAUGGUUCUCCGGCGGCGGUUCGCUGCGCAUUCAAGGACGAGAGCAGAGGUGAAGAGAGGGGGAAGUGCUCGGGCACGCGGACGCUCUUCACUUGAAGCCGAUGUGCUGGGGAAGAGGAGUGGGAAUCAUGGGGAGCCGCUCGAGCACCAGCGGUUCUGAACCGAGAGAGAGAGGGAGGGAGGGACGGUUGGAGGAGACGAUGCGGAUAGGCAGGCUCGGCUUGUCAGCGGGUGAGAGGGGAGAAGGGGAAGAAGGGGGAAGGAGCUGGCCGGCUGGAGCAGGGGAGGCGCGGGGGAAAUGGGCUGAAGCAGGCCGAAAGGAGAAGGGGGAGGGGGAAAAGAAAGGUUUUUCCAUUUUUUUUUCCAAAUCAAUUUUCAAACUCAUUUUUAAAAUGGAAUUUGAAUUCAAACUCUUUUGUUCAAAACCACACAUCACAAACGAAAAUGCGCCAGCAUGAAUGCAACACAAAAUGUUAUUCUAAACUUAUAUUUAAUUUUAAUUCCCCAAAUUUAUUUAUUUUUCCUAAAUUUUGAUGCUCACAAAAAUUAAUCAAUUAAACUCAAUUCAUCUAUUUAAAGGAAUAAAAUGUUGGGUGUUACAAUUCUACCCCCCUUAGAAAUAAUCUCGUCCUCGAGAUUGAGACGGUGCUUACUCAAAGAGAUAGGGAUAAGAUUGUCUUAGCUCAUCUUCUCUUUCCCAAGUGGCUUCUUCUUCCUAAUAUCAGUGCCACUGCACUUUGCACAUCUUUAUAACCCGACUCCUAGUAACUCAUUCCACGGUUUCUAAACUCUUGAUCGGAUAUUCCUCAUAAGUCAGAUCUCCUUCAACAGUAAGCUCUUCUAUUGGAAUUUGUUCCUCAGGCACUCGCAAACAUUUCUUCAGUUGCAACAUAUGGAACACAUCGUGAAUACCCGACAUACUCGCAGGCUAUUCUAAUUGAUAGGCCACUUGUCCACGUCUCCUAAAAAUUUUGAACGGUCCAACGUACCUUGGUGCCAAUUUACCCUUCAUAUUAAAUCUCCUGACACUUCUCAUAGGUGAUACCUUCAAGUUCACAUAGUCCCCUAUCUCGAAUGCCAAAUCUCUUCUUCUAGUAUCAGCAUAACUCUUUUGCCGAGACUAGGCUACUCUCAAGUUGUCCCGUAUUUUCCACGCUUGUUCUUCUGCAUCUCUAAGAACAUCAGGUCCAAAUACUUGACUCUCACCAGUUUGAUUCCAAAACAAAGGUGUUCUACAUUUCCGCCCAUACAAUGCUUCAAACUUGUCUGGUGACUAUUAUUAAAUGAAAAUUCAGCAUAUGGCAACCUUGUGUCCCAACUAGUACCAUACUAUAAAGCACAUGCUCUCAACAUGUCCUCUAGAAUCUGAUUCACCCUUUCAGUCUGUCCAUCGGUUUGGGGAUGAUACGUGGAACUAAAGUUCAACUUUGUUCCCAAUGAAUCAUGUACUUUGCGCCAAAACUGCGAUGUGAACUAUGUACCCCAAUCAGACACGAUCUUCUUUGGAACUCCGUGCAGGCUCACAAUUCUAUCCAUAUAUAAUUUUGCUAACUUUGCACCAUCAUAGUUGGUGUUGACGGGUAGAAAGUGAGCAACUUUAGUGAGUCGAUCCACUAUUACCCAAAUUGAAUCAUACCCACGCUGAGUGUGAGGGAAUCUAGUGAUGAAGUCCAUACCUACUUCUUCCCAUUUCCACUCAGGUACUUGCAUUGGUUACAACAACCUUGCAGGUCUUUGAUGCUCGGCUUUCACCCUCUGACAAGUAUCACAUAUGGCUACAUACUAUACCACAUCUCUCUUUAACCCAUACCACCAAUAUCUUUCUUUAAGAUCUAGAUACAUCUUGGUGCUACCGAGGUGAAUUGAAUAUGCAGAGUCAUGUCCUUCACGCAGGAUUGCAUCUCGGAUGGAUUUCACUUCGGGCACACAUAUUCUUUUCCCAAACCAUAGUGUACCAUUUUCAUCCAACCUGAAACCUGGUGCCUUUCCAAGCACUACAUUCUCUGAAGUUUCUUUUAAUUUCUCAUCCUCCAACUGACCUUUGCGGAUUUCUUGAUCUCAGGUGGGUUCUAACUCCAAUUCAACAGUGUUGUUCACUAGACCCAAAUUGAGAUAUUCUAUUUCGGCUAGCAACUCUGUGGGAAUGAAGGUCAAUUACAGCCCAUUGACAUAGCUCUUUCGACUAAGUGCAUCGGCAACAACGUUUGCCUUCUCGGGAUAGUAAUACACUUCCAGGUCACAAUCCUUUAUUAGUUCUAAGCAAUGGUGUUGCCUUAGGUUCAGAUCUGAUUGUGUGAAAAUAUACUUCAAACUUUUGUGGUCCAUAUAAAUAUCACACUUGUGUCCAAUUAAAUAGUGCUGCUAAAUCUUUAGAGCAUGAACCACGGCAGCUAGCUCCAAAGCAUGAGUUGGAUAGUUCAACUCAUGUUUUCUCAACUGCCUGGAUGCAUAGGCCACUACUCUUCCUUCUUGCAUAAGCACACAUCCAAGGCCUAGGCGAGAUGCAUCGCAAUAAAUAGAGAAGGUUUUACUCAAAUCUGGUAAGGUCAACACUGGGGCUGUCGUUAACCUUUUCUUUAGCUCCUCAAAAUAUUCUUGGCACUUAUCUGACCAAAGGAAUUUGGCACUCUUCUCUAGUAGGGCUGUCAUGGGCUUUGCUAACUUAGAGAAUCCUUCAAUAAAUCUCCUAUAAUAUCCAGCUAGUCCCAAAAAACUACCGAUUUCACUAGCAUUGGUUGGAGGCUUCCAAUUCAGCACAUCUUGCACUUUACUGGGGUCUACAGCUAUUCCACCAUUAGAGACCAUGUGUCCCAAAAAUGAGACCUCAUCCAACCAAAACUCACACUUGCUUUUCUUAUCAUAUAGUUUAUUCUCUCUAAGCUUUUGCAAGACCAGUCUCAGAUGUUCAGCAUGCUCUUCUUUUGUUUUGGAGAUGAUUAAUAUAUCAUCAAUGAAUACUACCACAAAGUUAUCCAAAUACUCAUGAACACCUUGUUCAUCAUAUAGAUGAAGUAUGCAGGUGCAUUGGUCAACACAAAUGACAUGACUGUAUACUCAUACAAGCCAUACCUUGUGGUAAAAGCUGUCUUAGGGAUGUCAGUUUCAUGGAUUUUUAGAUGGUGAUAGCCAGAUCGGAGGUCAAUUUUGGAGAACACACAUGCUCCUUUCAGUUGGUCAAAUAAGUCAUCUAUUCUAGCCAGUGGGUACUUGUUUUUAAUAGUGACUUUGUUUAAUGAACUAUAAUCCACACACACAUCCUUCUAGUGCCAUCUUUCUUAUCAACAAAGAUUACCGGUGCAUCUCAGGGUGACGAACUAGGACGAAUAAACCCUUUUUCUUGCAAUUCCUUAAGCUGUUUUUAAGUUCAUCUAAUUCAUUUACCCCCAUUCUAUAUGGUCUUUUUGCUAUGGGUGCAGUUCUAGGUAAAAGCUCAAUAAGAAAUUCAAUGUCACGGUCUGGUGGCAUACGUGGCAACUCGUCCGGGAACACAUCUAGAAAUUCAGCCACCACCUGGUCUUCUAGAUUAGCACCACUUAGCUAAUUCACUAUAGCAGUCGGCUGAGGUUGCACUUCCACAUCUACACUUAUCCUGUCUCCACCUGGUGAUGUCACAACCAUAGAUUUCUCCUGACACUGAAUUACUACCCCAUGCUGCUUCAUCCAAUCCAUUCCAAGUAUGAGGUCAAUUCCCAUGGUUCUUAACACAAUAGGUUUCACCUUGAAAUCUACCCCCUUAAGGAUAUACUAGUGGAGGGGCUCCAGUAAUUAGCUGGCAUGUUGCCUCCUGGUGAAUUUACUAGCAUGGAAUCUGGCAUGUUGCCUCCUGGUGAAUUUACUAGCAUGGAAUUUUUCAGUGCACAAAGUGGGAUGCUAUGCACUCUAACAAAUGCUUGGGAGAUGAAAGAAUGUGAAGCACCAGAAUCAAAUAGUACGGUAGCGGGGAUGGAGUUGAUGUUGAACGUACCUAUCAUAACUUCAGGUGCUUCUUGAGCUCUAUCGGUGGACACAUGGUUCACUCUCCCAAAAAACAGAGGUUGACCAGGCCUCUGAUUGCUGUUCUGGUUUUGCUAGGCUGGUGGAUCCUGCUUCUUGGGGCACUGGUAUGCAUAGUGUCCCACCUCUCCACAGCGGUAACAAGCAUUGGGGUUACCGUUGGGUGCUGCACUCUUGCCAGGAGCAUUGUUUGACACUCCUUGGCGUGGUGCCUGGUUGCUGACGUGUUGCUGGGGGCCUUGCUGACUCUAAUUGUCAAACUGCUGCUGAGGGGCGUUGUUGGUUCUGGUGGCUGUACUGCUGGUGGUACUGAGGGCGCUGAGGGAACUGACCAUGGUUCCACUGAUUCGGUGGUCCUUGAUUGCGCUAAGGGAAUCCCUGCUGAGGGUAUGCACGUGGGCGAGUGUUGCUGCCCAAUAGCUGCCCUUGGAGCUUCCUCUUCUUUGAGUCCAUCUCCUUGCGCUUGUUGUCGAUGACAAUAGCGCGGUUCACCAAUUCUUGGAAACAAGGAUAGGUGUUGCUCAUCAGUUGCAGCUGUAGUCCAUCAUAUAAGCCCUUCAGGAAAAGGCGUUGCUUGUCAGAGUCCCUGGCCACCUCAUAUGGAGCAUAUCGUGACAAUUGUGCAAACUUGUCACGAUACUCACUGACUGUCAUCGAUCCUUACUUGAGAGACCUGAACUCCUCUGCCUUCAGUUCGAUCAGACCCUCCGGAAUAUGAUGGGACCUGAACCCCUCAGUAAAUUCCUUCCAGUUAACUGGUGGAGCAUUGUUUGGGCAUCCAUAUUGAUAGAACUCCCACCACUCCUGAGCAGGUCCUUGCAGCUGGCCCGAGGCAUACAACACUUUCUCAAGGUCGCUGCACUAGGCUAUGUUCAACUGCUUCUCUACCACCUUCAACCAAUCAUCGGCCUCAAGUGCAUCAGAGGCAUGGGCGAACACCGGGGGACGUCCUUUCAAGAACUCCGCACACUUGUCGCGGACCUAGAACGGCGGUGGUGCUGCUACAGGUUCAUUGUUCAUGAGAUUCAUCAUAGCUUGCAUUAAGUUAGCUUACAUCCUCAAUGGUCAUCGGCAGUGGUGGUGGCGGAAUCUUAGGUACACCACAUCCACGGCUACGACCGCAGCCACGGCCACGUCCACGACCAGUGCAUGCUCCCUCAGCAUCCAUCUGCUUCCAACAAAGAUUCACGGCUUUUAGUGGUCUUCCAAAAUAAUUAUUCAUCGCUUAUAAUGAAUAAAAACAAGACUAGCAGUUUUCUGGACCAGUUUGAAAAUCAGCAGGUCAGUAUAUCGUGUUUAUCUCAAACUCUGGCGAUCCAACAGGGACACGGCAUACUUCGUUGGAAAGGUUAAGAAAUUCUCUACAAACUUCAUUCAAACCUUAUUUACUGGUUCCGACAGUAACAGGACCAAAACUGUAGGUAAUCAGGUUCUGCUCUGGUUCUCAGUCUGCGCAGAUACAGCAGAUUAAAUCGGACAUAUUCACAGACCCGAACAAAUAAUGAGGUGAUUCCAGUUGGAGAUGAAAGAUAUGUCAGUCUAGUUUUCACCAUAAAUAUUUCGUAAUUUUUGACUAAACCAUUUAUUGGAUACAGAAUAAACAUCACAGACUGAUCUAGAAUCAGCAUGGCCGAGACAUUGAUAAAGUAACCCAACCCCACAUUAAUUAACAUUUACUACUGAGAUUAAACUUUAGAAAUAUGCGGACUGGCCCACAUGUUCCCACAAUCAAACAAAACUCCAAAUCAUAAAUGUUCAUGAUCACAAACAGCAACACACUGAAUGUUCACACGCCACACAUAACCAAACCACUCGUUCAAAUGUCUAAAUAGUAAGUACUGGGACAUCUAGGGAGCUCUAUCCUGCAAAACGAACUUGCAGGGCUUCUUUUUUUAGAUGGGUGGCUGUAGACACUUGCUAACACCACUUGAAUACUAGGUUGUCAUCCCCAGCAUGGCACUAGAGUGUACUAUGGUAUUUAUACGCACACAGAUAAUCUGCAAGCGCACGGAUACCGUUGAAGCUUUUACCCGGUUAAAGGUUUUAUCGUAUCCACAGGGAAACGGGAGAACCAGCUACGCUCUAACUUAACCAAGAUAGAUAGAUAGGUGUAAAUAGAAAAGAUGGUAGAAUUGAAUAAGAACAAUAUUAAAGGUAAGAUAACAAUAGGUGAUAAUAUGGGAAUGUAGAGCAAUUCAAGUAUAUGGGCGAUGGUAGCAGAAUAAAGAGUAUAACUAUGGUUUCUCUACUUCAAAGGGGUAUGUCUAUGUCUAGGACGAACCACAUGAUAAGAGUACACCACAAAGGAUGCUUAUCCUUAGGCCGAUAAACCCUACCCGUCCUCCUAACGAGAGGUGGACUACAGAGGACCAACGUAACUGUCACCUACGCGGCCUACCACAUGAUCCAGCUAGACAGGGGAUAUCCACAAGUAAUCUAGGUCUAAGCACCACGCUUACACCUAUACUACAACUCUCACCUAUAGCGUCCUAUAGAUUAAAGUACUCAAAAGAGUUGUGAACCAGAACAUACAUAAUUAGUAAUUCCAUAAUGAAUUAGAAGUAGAUUACCAGAGUCAUCUCAUGAGCAAGCUUGAUUAGAGCUUGAUCAUGACGAAGUACAACCGGAGGAAGAACCGACAGGCCGGCCUCUCCUCUAAUCCUCCUUCGCUCUCCAUCUUGCUACUAUCUAGAUCUACUCUAGUUUAGAGAAGAGAGGAAAGCUCUCAUCUCUAAACCCUAGCUUUUGCUCUGUCUAUGAAUAAUGAAUAAUGAUCAAGGGGUGCCUCCUCCAGGGGCUAGGGGGUCUGGUUAUAUAGUCCCCUCAAGUGAACCUGGGCCGUUAGAUCAAACCGACAUUGAUUGAACGGUUAUUCUUGAUCCUUUAGGUCGGUGGAAAUCUCCCGAGAAACAGAGUCCUGAUUGGACUCUAGAGGUGGGCGGGCGCCCAGGGGAACAGGGCGGGCACCCUGCCUCUGGCCCCGUUUCGCCUCCGCUUCGGUCCCGUGGCUUCUGGAGUCUUCUAGAUGUAAGAUAAUUGCGCGGCACAUUAAUAUCUCUAUGUAAUCCUGACGUGUGGGCCUUUCUUCCGUAUUUCCUGAUAACCCCCUGCAGAAAUAGACAAACACCAAAACUCGUGCAAUUCUGUCAGAUAAAACCCUAAGUCUAGAUGUUGAUUUCAUUUUGAUCCUUUUCUUUGUUUAUUUGAUAAUUAAAUUUGAUACUUAAGGACCGUCAACAAACUCCCCAAGCUUACCUCUUGCUCGUCCCUGAGCAAGGAUAGACUCAGCAAUGGAUCAGAAGUUGUUGCAAUAUCUUAAAAAUUUGACGGUACACAUGCUUUUAAAUAAGAUCUCAUCUCUGAGUUAGAGUAAACUGUCAAGAACUAAAACUUACUUACUUUACAUUUCACCAUGGGACUUGUAACCGUCACUUCUGUCUUGAGUAGUUAAAAGAUAGAACAGUCUAGCCAAGUGCCAUGUCUCUUAUUCUUGAUCAGCUAUAGCUCUGGAGUUUUUGCAGAUUUUCAAAUAAAACUCAGAGAUUCCUUGUAUGACUCUCUAAAUCUCUCUUUUGUGGUAUUUCUGGAUCCUUACCAAGGCAGUCAUGGUAUAUGCCUUCUCUCAAGAUAUAUGGUAUUUGUGGCACAGUGACAUUGCCUUCUCUCUCACCCUACUCUAAUCAGGCUUUAAUAUCUGGAGCUCAUAGGUGGGAAAUAAAGUAUACAUUCUCUCAAAUCUCUCUUUUGUGAUAUUUCUGGAUCCUUACCAAGGCAGUGAUGGUGUAUACCUUCUCUCAAGUAUAUAGUAUUUGUGGUAUAAGGCAUAGUGACAUUGCCUUCUCUCUCACCCUACUCUAAUAAGGCUUUUGAUAUCUGGAGCUCAUAGGUGGGAGAUAAAGUUUACAUACUUACAAGACAUUUAUUGCAUAGUCAAACCAUGGAUCUAGAGAAACAAGUCAAUAAGUCAAAUCAAGAUGUGCAUGUGUGGUGAAUGAAUGGUGGAUGGUGAUGAUGGUGAUAGCAAUGGUGGAAGUCUAAUUCUACUUUUGCUCUUUUGAGGGGAUACAUACCUUCCUUGCUUUUGAAACUUUGUGAGGAGAAUGAGGUGCUCUUCUUUUUCUUUUUUUCUUUCCUCUCAGGUGGGUAUCUUGUACCCCUAAUUCUACUGUUGGACACUUGUCCAUUUUUACCUCUCGUCUCACUCUUCUUUUUUUUCUUUCGAGGUUCCGAGCACUUGCCCCUUUUUAUUUCCUCGUAUUUUUUAUUAUUUUUUUUCUUCUCUUUUCUCUUUUUUUCUUUUCAGAGCACUCAUCUCUUGAGAUAAUAUAGCAAGUGGUAGUAGCAAGAUAACUUGAGCAUUUAUUUCACAAGGGAAAACAGAAAUAUUUUUGGCUAUUCUCUCCCGGAUUAGGAGAAGAAUAUUUUUGGGUGGUUCUGGAGAUGUAUGUGGAUGGUACUUCCGGAGUAGAAGUAGCAUAUAUGAGUGAACAUGCAAGUGAAUCAUGAUUUAACCACAUGACAAGCUCCUAAGGGUCUACACAGCUUGACCACACUCAAUGCUCAUAAGCAGUAAGUAGUAAAUGUGUGGCUCAAAGUCUAGCAAGCAUGUAUAUAUGGCUGUGGUAGGAAUUUAAACUCUCAUCAUAUAGGAACUCAUCAUGCAAUAUUUUAAAGAUUUUUCAAAGAUAAAAUUCUCCAGAAUUCUAGCAUCUCUAGAAACAGAUAAACAGCAGCUCAGCCUUCCCAUAUCAUAUCUGUUAACAACUUAGACUUCAGAUCAAGUUUUCAUCCUACAAGUUUAGAUCUAGAGCAAGCUUUAAAUUAUAACAGUUAUGUCUAAACUUGAGAGAGAACUUCAAAUUUUAAAAAUUAGGCAGAGCAACUAUUCAUCAUAUCCAUGCUUGAGUUUUAUUUCGAUACAGAUUAGCAUAGCCACUUUAUUUAUUUAUUAAACACACUAAGCAAAAGAUAUAUAUAUAAGCACAAAAUCUUUAUUUGGUUUUUCAUAGUUUAUGUAUUUUAAUAUUCUAACAUAAUAUAAGUAUAAAGAUAGGUAGAAAUACUUAGCGAGAUAAAUGGGGGUGCUCUCCCCAAAGCUGAAUUUUGACGUAAUUUCCCUUGAUGUAGCUAGCAGGUGGCAGAGGUGUAUUUGAAAGUCAGCAGCAUUCUGACAGCGAUUAGAAUGUCCUCCGUCUGCUAGUCUUCUUGAUUCUUAAAUUCUGUGGAGCUCAAAUAGACAACAAAGCUUGUGGAACUAAUUAAGUGUUAGCAUAAAUAUCUAGCCUUCAUCAUAUUGAGCUUCCUCAAUAAAUAUUACUCCCUGUUUUUAUAUUUUUAUUUUAUAAAACAGAAAAGAAAUAUUUAUUUUAUUUUUAUGCCACCACAGUGAAGGUACUUAUGGGUUUUAUGCCACUUGUAUACUCACAUAGGGCUUAGUAUUUUUUAACAUUUUUAUUUUGUUUUCAAGAUAGCAUGAUUAACUAAUAAUCUAUUUAAGGAAAGUAAAUAAUUAAAGGGAAAAGGGGAUGCAGAAAGGAUAAAUAUGGAUAACUACCGAUCUUACCUUUCGGCGAUGGUUCAAUGUUUUAAGUCUUCUUAACAAGACUUCUUACCGUGUUCAUUCUUCAGGUGCGUCAUUUGAUUCAGGUGCAGACCUUGACGUCUGCACCUCUUGAUACGGUGUCACCCAUGUUCUUCGUUUGCCUAGCAGUUCGAAGUGCGGCGUUGGCAGUAACCUACACAGUGUGUUUGUGCUCGUAGGUCCAGGUCCUUCACUUGGUAGAGUCUGAGAGUUAUAAAACUCCUCCGUGUUUUGCUCAAAGUGUACCUACUCAUAGAGACAAGGCAGAGAUCAAGUGCAUGGGUCUUGUUGGUGGAAAACACCAACAGAACCUAAAGUGUAUUUGUUCUUCUCUAACCCUAAGCAUAGUGAGCAAGAAAAGUUGAUGGAUGAAAAGUUCAUGAGUGUAGCACUUAUAACAUUUGUCAGAUCAGAUCGCUCAACCUUACGGAAAGAUAAUCUAUCUAUGUAUAUGUCUUUUUCUUUAUAUCUCUCAAAGAUUGAAUGUGCAACAUUUUAGCUCGUAUGAUUAGGAGUGUGGGAUCAUGGAGGCAGUACUAAGAACAAGGAUUAAAGGACUAAACAUAUUGAAUCAGUUGGGUUGGUUAAUCUAGAGUUGUAAAUCAUACAUGUUUGUCUCUUUUAUUUAUAUGAACGCCAGAACCAAGGAGAAGCUUAUAAAAGUGAUAGUCAAGUACCUUAAGGUGUUACCUUAGUUGAAGAGUGAUGGUACAGUCUCACCUUGUGGAAGCUUUCCUUUCUUAGCGGUUGUGCAUCGUGUUUGUGGCACCCUCCAUGGAUCAUCUCUCUAUGAUGAAUGAGCUAUGUCCUUUUUGUGCAAAUUGUUAAACUUCAUGUGUCACUCUUUUUGUCUCUGAUGUGAGUUUAUCUCAGGACUUCCCA